GAUGAACGCUAGCGGCAGGCCUAAUACAUGCAAGCUGAACGGUAAAUAUUGUAGCAAUACAAUAUGAGAGUAGCGUAAGGGUGCGUAACACGUAUGCAAUCUGCCCUGUACAGGAGGAUAGCUCGGGGAAACCCGGAUUAAUACUCCGUAAUAUUAUUGGGAGGCAUCUCUUGAUAAUUAAAGUCGCAGGACGGUAUGGGAUGAGCAUGCGUCUGAUUAGCUAGUUGGUGGUGUAACGGACCACCAAGGCGAUGAUCAGUAGGGGAACUGAGAGGUUGAUCCCCCACACUGGCACUGAGAUACGGGCCAGACUCCUACGGGAGGCAGCAGUAGGGAAUAUUGGUCAAUGGAUGCAAGUCUGAACCAGCCAUGCCGCGUGCAGGAAGAAGGCUUUCUGGGUUGUAAACUGCUUUUGCCGGGGGAUAAAAAGUCCAUGCGUGGACAAUUGAAGGUACCCGGUGAAUAAGCCACGGCUACUACGU
rnacentral:rRNA from 1 species